rnacentral:rRNA from 1 species
AAUAAACGUUGGCGGUGCGCCUUAUGCAUGCAAGUCGAACGGGGUUACGGUCUUCGGAUUGUAACCUAGUGGCGAAUGGCUGAGUAACGCGUAAGCAACCUGCCUUGGAGUGGGAAAUAACUUGCCGAAAGGCAAGCUAAUGUCCCAUGUGGUAACGAAGUAAAUGCUUUGUUAUUAAAGCCUUAGGGUGCUCCGAGAGGGACUUGCGUCUGAUUAGCUAGUUGGUAGGGUAAUGGCCUACCAAGGCGAUGAUCGGUAGCUGGUCUGAGAGGAUGGUCAGCCAGAUGGGGACUGAGACACGGCCCCAACUCCUACGGGAGGCAGCAGCAAGGAAUCUUGGGCAAUGAGCGAAAGCUUGACCCAGCGACACCGCGUGAGGGAAGAAGGCCUUCGGGUUGUAAACCUCU